UUUGUUUCUUGGCCUUUUGGCUAAGAUCAAGUGUAGUAUCUUAUAUAGGACUGCUCAUUUUAGAAUUUCUUUUUAAAUGCUAACUCGAA
ensembl:snRNA U2 U2 spliceosomal RNA